CUGCUCAGGUCUCUCCUCAUUCGUCGAAUUAUUCUUUCGCCUUUUACUAAAGAAUACCGUGGGGAGGGUCACUCGAAUGAACCUACAGGCGAAUUUUUGGAAGGCCCUAUUCGUCUGGGUAG